CCGUAGCAUCAAUUUAUCCGA
rnacentral:miRNA from 1 species